UACGGAGGGGGCUAGCGUUGUUCGGAAUUACUGGGCGUAAAGCGCGCGUAGGCGGGCUGGAAAGUUGGGGGUGAAAUCCCGGGGCUCAACCCCGGAACUGCCUCCAAAACUCCCAGCCUAGAGAUCGAGAGAGGUGAGUGGAAUUCCGAGUGUAGAGGUGAAAUUCGUAGAUAUUCGGAGGAACACCAGUGGCGAAGGCGGCUCACUGGCUCGAUACUGACGCUGAGGUGCGAAAGCGUGGGGAGCAAACAGG
rnacentral:rRNA from 1 species